UUUCACCAGAAGUAGGUAGGCUAACCGUAAGGAGGCCGCUUACCACGGUGGGAUUCAUGACUGGGGUGAAGUCGUAACAAGGUAGCCGUAGGGGAACCUGCGGCUGGAUCACCUCCUUUCAAG
rnacentral:rRNA from 1 species